rnacentral:rRNA from 1 species
ACUGGCGGCACUAGCGCGGUGGUCCCACCUGACCCCAUGCCGAACUCAGGGUGAAACGCCACCGUAGCGCCGAUGGUAGUGUGGGGUCUCCCCAUGCGAGAGGUAGGGAACUGCCGGGC